UACCUACGGGGGGCAGCAGUGGGGAAUAUUGCACAAUGGGGGAAACCCUGAUGCAGCGACGCCGCGUGAGUGAGGAAGUAUUUCGGUAUGUAAAGCUCUAUCAGCAGGGAAGAAAAUGACGGUACCUGACUAAGAAGCCCCGGCUAACUACGUGCCAGCAGCCGCGGUAAUACGUAGGGGGCAAGCGUUAUCCGGAUUUACUGGGUGUAAAGGGAGCGCAGGCGGCCUGCCAAGUCUGGUGUGAAAACCCGGGGCCCAACCCCGGGCCUGCAUUGGAAACUGGCGGGCUGGAGUGUCGGAGGGGG
rnacentral:rRNA from 1 species